CCCGGCCCUGCCUGGGAUUUCCUGUUCAGACCAGGGCACCAGACAGAAUCCUGGGCUGGGAGCCAGCCUCCUCCAAUAGUGCCUGGACAACAGUUCCAGGCCAAAAGGAGGAAGAGAGAAAGAGACAGAAAGAGAGAGAGACAGAAAGAGAGAGAUAGAGACAGAAAGAGAGAGAGAAUGAAAGAGUGAAAGAGAGAGAGAGAGAAAGGGAAAUAAAGAGAGAAAGGGAGAAAGAGUGAGAGACAGAGAGAGAGACAGAGAGACAGAGAGACAGAGAGAGAGAGACAGAGGCAGAGGAGGGAGGCGGGAGAACGAGCCCUGCCGGCAGCGCGGCCAACUUUCCUUCUGCAGCGCAGCAGGGCAGGGCAGCCUCUCAUCCCUCGGUGUGCGACCCUUGCCCCGGGUGCAUUCCUCCACAGCUGAUGCAGACAGAAGCACAAAGCACUGCAUUGACAGGGUGCAACACAAAGAGGCUGUGAAAAUUAAGAGGACUUCAGAUUUCUACUUCCAGUCUCCUGCUGCAUCUUCCCUGAUUUCUUCAGAGCUUUGUAUUUCCUAA
rnacentral:lncRNA from 12 species